rnacentral:lncRNA from 1 species
AGAAGGAAAGGAAAAAAUAUGCUUCGUUCUCCACUCUGAAUCCAUUUGGUCUCUCUCUGGAGCCCCCCAAUCUGUGCCAGUCUAGAAACACCAGCAUCCCCAGCGUGAGGAGCACCAGGCCAACCAGACCCAUAUGAAUGAAGUAGUACUAGGAGGAUGAGUUAAAAGGGGAAGAGAAAGAGGAAUUGAUGCAAGAGGAGGUGGAGAAAGAAGAGAAAAGAGAAGACUUUCUGGCUAUCAGCUUGAGCUGGCUUCAUCAUUAAACACCCUGAGACUGAGAGAUAGAGAAGGGAACUUACUCCUUAAAAGAAAAAAAAAAACACUUUAUUUUCCUCAAUAGAACUUGGGGCUGGAGGCCAGAGUCAACCAGCUGGGAUUCUGGUGCGCCAUGCUUUCAGAAUGUUUUUGACUGCCGGUUGUACACUAGACAUAGAGAGACGGGAAAGAAAACAACCCAAAGAUAAACUCACCGCUGGGAGGAGGGGGGAGGAGAUGAGAAGAGGGCGGGGCGACAUUUUAUCCUGAGUACGCUAGGACAGGUCGGGCUUUGGUCAAUGCUGGGGCUGGCUAACUAGCCUUGGGGUACCAAGCUGCUGAGACACUGAAGAGCGGCUUAGCUUUUCCCAGUGUUAGAAUAUUUCAGCUGCCAACCACAAACUCCAUCCUGCAAACCCAGGAGGCUGCAGAAGUUUACUCUAUCAAAUUUGGCAACUUCCAGGCAGACGAGAUCCCCAGGUCCCCGGGGCCCAGAGACAAAAAGACAACCUCCAGAGCCAGAGAGCCUCAUUCUAUACAACGUUUUACACCCAAAGUCGCCCGGCUCGCUGAAAUCAUGGGAUAUCCGGCUUAAAAUGGUCCCCAGAAAUCACCAAGUUCAGUCUCUUUACUUUUGGGAUGAAAAAACAUAAACGUGGUGUGGUCAGCUGGUUUCUGAACACUCCGCAGCUUGUCCUUACCAGGAGGGAUUCGUCAGUUCGUUCUUUCGCUCGCUGGUUCAGUCCGUCAGUCGGGCAAGCAGGCACCAAGAGCAGCGGUAACAGAGGCGCCCACAGUUCCUCAGAACUGACUCAGCGAGGGCAGAGAAAUUCAAGAAGUUUAGGAGCCAUAACCACAGGAUACCCACAUUUGCCUGCCACAUGUUGACUUCUGAAGAUGGUAUGCCUUAGAGCCAUAACGACGGCACAAAGUGUGCAUCUUAUUCCAGUGCUUACUAAAUGAAGACAUCUGCUUCGUCAUCUUCCUCUUGCUGCUGGAGCAAAAAGAAGGCUAUUGUGGUUUCUGAAAAUUUGAUAGUCAAAGGAAUGAUUGCCUUUCAAUUAGAAGCUAGUCAAAAUAAAGAUGUAUUUUUUCCCA